AAACAGCGUGUCUUUUUAGCGUCCACUUAGCGUCUUCAUUCCAGCUUGGCGUCGAAAUUAACAAAGUUAGAAUUUACAGUCCUAACUAUUGGAGAAAGCAAGGGAAAUGGGAAUUGACAUAGGGAAGGCGGACGUAGGAGAAGAGCCACAGUUCAGUAAUUUCCUGCUGUAGCAAUUUAAUUUGAAGAAAGAGUGGGACGUAAGGAAAGGGGCAGACCACCCCUAUUUGUGAGGCCCCGUCAAAAGUGUAAAUGAAGGCCCACAUACUUUUUGACUGAAUAUUUAAAAGUUGUAAAUGAAGCUAUAUACUAAAGGAGAUACGUUCUAGCCUCCUACCUUAAAUAUAUCUUCCUAACAGUCUGGAAGAUCAAGUCCGAAUUUAGAAUUCUAGGACUGGAAUUCCAGGCAAGCAGAGCUGCCAAAAUCCUUCUCUACGCGUUCCACUUCCCCUUUACACCGCAUGGGCGGACACUUGGCCACCGCCGGGGCCUUGGGGUGAGCACACGCUCAGGAGGAUGGACCUAAAGAAACGCUUUUGCAAGCCCUGAAAACAACAGUGAUGAAGUAGAACUGCAUGUAACAAUAUGGAUACAUCUGAAAAAUACGCUGUUAAAUGAGCAAAACAGAUUGCAGACGGAUAGGUAAAGUAUGGUAUCAUUUAUAGUUGGUGUUUAAAAGACAAUAUAUUUAAAAUAGAUCCAUAUGAGUUUAAAAUGCAGGAGAAUGAUAUAUAGAAAACUCGGAAUGGCAGUUACAUUCAGGGAAAGGGAGGAGUUUCCAUGAAUUUUUAAAUAUUUAUUAAGGGCCCCAAGGUGGCCACAUAGGUGGCCAGUGUUCUUUAUAGAGUCUAUACUUAGGUAUCUAAAAUGUUUCAUAGUUUCAAAAACUAUUUGUUUUAAAUAGAUACAAAACAGUACAGCUAUCUCAUUUACAACCAAAAACAUGUUCACUCUCUUCCCUAAAGGGAAAUAAUACAGAUCUGCAUGGUACUGCACCCACUUCCAAGGCCCGGAUCUCUGUAAUGUUCAGUUCUCUGUUAGGGAACAUUUCUUUUAACAUAGAAUGAGACUGUAGAUGCCCUCUAUCAAAAAGAAUAAAAGACGUGAAUCUAGGUCACAUUACCAUUCUAAUAUUCAGGACCUCCCCUGGGUCCCUUCAAUUGUUGCCAGUAGAUUUUCAGAAACUUUUCAGAAAAUGGUUUUAAAACCUAUUCAGUCAUUGACAUGAGAAGCAGUUGCUCACUGGUUAAGAAGAUUCUAGUCCUCAAUUAUGAUUCAUUUUGAGUAUAAUUAAAUCAGCAACUGCUUUAUAGUCUCUGGUAAAAUAUUUUCCCAUUAAAAAUAUGUCACUUGACAUUUUUAAACAGUUCUUUAUUC
rnacentral:lncRNA from 1 species